rnacentral:rRNA from 1 species
GGGGAAACCACCGUAGCGGACGGAAGGCGUAACCUUUCGUCGGUCGUACGUUAACGUGAACACUAGGACGGCGACGGAAGCGGGUAGGGAGACAAACGAGUAAGUUAGAACUUACCCGUAGGGUUACGUUACCGCCGGAACCCGGUUAAAACCGAGUAGGUAGGUCGUAACCGUUAAGGUUUAGUAAGGGGUUUACGGGGUUUCCCCGGUUACCCCGUUUUAGGGUCGUCGUCGACGAGUAACCGUAACCGCUUAAAGUUAACGACUAACCGUCCCCUCCGGGGUAGGGGGAACGGGUUACCGGGUCCGACGAAAACGCGUAAACGUAAACCUAACGGAAAAAGGUUAAUUAGGGGGAACCCCGGGGGGCCCCGCCAAACGAACGGUCGGGUAGGACGACAUGGUUAGUUUAGUACGAGACACGAGAACGUACCUACGACGUUCUGACACUCCUGCGACACUCAGANAGAGUACCUUCCGGUCGGACAGAGUCAGNGGUGNACNGUGUGUCNGANCUGCGCGAGAGUGCGUAUAGCGCAUAGCGCACCACCUGGUGAUAUACAGCGUAAGCUGAGGACUCUGGCCAGACUGCCAUCGUAAGAUGUGAGGAAGGUGGGGAUGACGUCAAAUCAGCACGGCCCUUACGUCCGGGGCUACACACGAAGUCGACGCGGCCG